rnacentral:sRNA from 1 species
UGGCCAGGUAGGACCGAUGUGAUUCUGC